rnacentral:rRNA from 1 species
GAUGAACGCUGGCGGCGUGCCUAAUACAUGCAAGUCGAGCGAACAGACGAGGAGCUUGCUCCUCUGACGUUAGCGGCGGACGGGUGAGUAACACGUGGAUAACCUACCUAUAAGACUGGGAUAACUUCGGGAAACCGGAGCUAAUACCGGAUAAUAUAUUGAACCGCAUGGUUCAAUAGUGAAAGACGGUUUUGCUGUCACUUAUAGAUGGAUCCGCGCCGCAUUAGCUAGUUGGUAAGGUAACGGCUUACCAAGGCAACGAUGCGUAGCCGACCUGAGAGGGUGAUCGGCCACACUGGAACUGAGACACGGUCCAGACUCCUACGGGAGGCAGCAGUAGGGAAUCUUCCGCAAUGGGCGAAAGCCUGACGGAGCAACGCCGCGUGAGUGAUGAAGGUCUUCGGAUCGUAACUCCGUUAUUAGGGAAGAACAAAUGUGUAAGUAACUAUGCACGUCUUGACGGUACCUAAUCAGAAAGCCACGGCUAACUACGUG